AGUGAGGAUAGAGGCGCAAAGACCAUUAGUAGACAAUUUGAGGAUAAUGAGAUCCUUAGACGAUUGUUUAAAGGGGAAUUUGCCGAAGCUUCAGAGAUACUCAUGGUCUUGAAGCUGGUUCUGCUGUUGAAUAAGCACAGAACUGUCAUAUAGGAAACUAUAUGGAGGGCUAUCCACGCA
rnacentral:ncRNA from 2 species